AUCGGGUCCAUGUUGACGGCUAUCCUGGGAUCCACGUUCCUGGGGCACAUCUGCUGUAGUUCAGUUGCAUAGGACGGGUUGAGUGUAGGAUCCACUGGAUUUUGACGACUGAAAUUGUAUAUCCUGUUGCUGAACCUGUUGCAGUGGGAAAAUCCAAGGGUGUGUGCCGCUGAGAGAGCAAUCAUGUCAGUCUGGGAGAGGCCAUGAGAAGCAAAGAGAGAAUUGAGUUGAUUCAGAUUGAAAGUUUCCUUAGGCAGUUUGCCAUUAACGCUAGCAGCAGUUGAGCUGAGGCCAUCAAGUCUUCCCAAUUCAACAGCAUAUGAAGGUCCACCAGACAGAGCAACAACAUCUCUUGUUGCCAUUGCAAGAAUAUCUGCACAUGACACCUUGUUUCUGCAGCUGGGGAUGGCGUCCACGGCUUGGCCUUGAUCACGGUGUCAAAUCCAUCCCCGGCCAAUGAUAAAUUAUCCGGGUGGUCUUUCUCUGCUUUGUUGUUCGGAGUGGAUUGGAUUAUAACUGAAGCAUCACAUCCCUGCACAAAGCAAUCAUGGAAGAAGAGACGGAGGGUUCCAGGAACAGUGACAAAAGUCUGCUGAAAUUUCUUUUGAACUGCAUUUCUAACAAUGGAUUCCACAUUUGGGCAAAUAUUGGCAUAAUAAUUUUGUCUAAGCUGAGCUGAAACAGAACUUGAAAAGAGGCACAAACUGAAAGAAAGUGACAAUACAAGAAUAAGCUGGAAACUACCCAUCAUGACCCUGAUCCACUAUAAUAUGUAAAAGAAGC
rnacentral:misc_RNA from 1 species